ACCUGAUACUGAGCAACAUCAGAGAAACAGGCAGCUCUGCCUGGAGGCUGCCAUCCCCUCACAGAGAUCUUGAAAGCAGAAAUGGUAAGACACGGACAACAUCAGAAGCCUCGCAACAGGGGACGCUCCCAGCAGAGGCAAAGAGGCAAAGGCAGGAGACAAAGAAGGAGGCAAAGGAGAAAGACAAGGACAAGAGCAGGCAAGAAAUACCAUUGCAGAAGACGAGUGUUUUACUGAGAUCCGGCCUCCUCUGCCAUACGUUGCAGCAUCAACUGCAUGACAAACAAUUCUGCUUUCUGGGAAGUCUGGAAUAGGAGCAGCCAGUUAACAUGCAAUAAACAGGCCUGGAUGCA